rnacentral:lncRNA from 1 species
GUCCUUACAAGCUGCUACUCAAAUUGCUCUCAUUUAGGUUCCUGAUGUUCAUCUGUGAUCUGCAGGGAUUGCUCUGCUGCUCUGAAUUGCACCAGAGCAAUCCCAGCCAACUGAACAGACGCUCCUCUUCACUCCUCUGCUUUAUGGUGAUGAUGCCACUGGUACUGGACCUUUGGAGACACAGUUACUUCUCCUGAUCACCACUGGGUUCCUUCACAGCCUGCUGUUACUCCUGCUUCUCUGAAGUAUAUACUCUUAUGUUGGAUGGGAAAAUAUGGCCUCUAACAACAUGAGUAACAUCCUUUCACUGCACACCAGUUGCACAUAGAGAAGAGGAAAACUAGAAUGUCAAGAAGGAAAAAGCACCAUCUCUUUUACCUGUCAGUACUAGGACCUACAGACCUUUCCAUCUUAAUUUAUCAUGAAGACCUAGCUAAAAAUACAGUUCCUGACAAGUGGUUCCAAAUAAAUUAAUUGAAAACAUCAACAAGAAAGAUCAUUGACACUUCUGCUAGUUUUACUUUCCUGCAAAAUGAAUCAUUCUGGGUACUGCUGUUUCUUCUGUAGCCUGGAGUAUAACUGUUUACACAUUUAAAAGAGGAUUGUUCAGCUCAUGCAGUCACCUUGGAAAAUGCCAACCAGAUUCCUUUAUGAUGGAACUAAACUGGGAUAUAUUCCCUGGAAGCAUUGUGAAAAUACACCAACUGCAAAAAGGGACAAAGCUCAUGGGCAACACAAGGACCAAUCUAAAUUAAACUCCCCUUGAAAUGUGUACAUCGGGGACACUGGAUCUUAAACAUUAUUUGUUUUGUUUUGCAAAUCUACUGCUUAGCUACACUGCUAGACCAUACAUAACCCUGAAGACCAUAAAGUUUAUUCACUGAAUGCUGAACUUCUCUGAAAAUCUAAAUGUGAGAAUGACAAAAAGCAGUUCACAGACAUUGUAAUUCUUCUCUGCACAGAUAAAUGCACAGUGUCUCAAAAAUACUUCAACAGAGUCUUUUGAAAAUCCAUGGCAUCAUCGGAGAAACAGAUCUGACUGAUUUUGUCUGAAAAAAAAAUUUAGAAGAUGGUUUCAUUUGUAUUUUAGCACAGGAAAUUGUCAGAAGUCUGCCAACAGUUCUGUAAAAUUCUCCAUCUCCUCACUACUUCUUCAAUCUGCAUCCUUUCCCUAAUGAAAUAUACCAUCUCUGCUAUCAAUUCAGCAGUGUGCAAGCACACGCUCAGCUUUCUAGGAGCAAUUCAGUAACAUUCAACCACCCAGAUGUCUGGAAAUGUCUUCACCAGGAACCUGGCUCUUGGUUGCAACUGACUCCCAGUCCUUGGACUCCCACCCACUUCAUAAUUAAGUGCCCUACCUGAAAAGAAGCUGCCAUUGAUGGAGAGCUGUUCUUACCUUAGAGAGAGGUGUGAUUAAAAAGCCAGGUACUGAACUUCCUAAAUUUUCCCAAUAUGCCUCUGGAACCCCCUUAACCAUGUUUUGAAAAAAAUCUCAUAGUAUUCAUUAAAUAACUGGGGAAAUUCUUUUAAGAACUGCUUUUUCUUUUCCUGCACAAAACAACACAAAUAUCUUCAAAAGGUUAUUUAGAAACAGAUUGUACAAUACUAUUUUUUCAUUUCUUCUCCACAUAACUUCUCCC